ACGGGCCCUUGGCAGCCUGGGGAUGUACUACAGAGAAGUCCCCAGGCAGUACCGAGGUCUGU
rfam:Chelonia mydas contig256442, whole genome shotgun sequence.